rnacentral:rRNA from 1 species
AUUGAACGCUGGCGGCAGGCCUAACACAUGCAAGUCGAGCGAGCGGCGGACGGGUGAGUAAUGUAUGGGGACUGCCCGAUAGAGGGGGAUAACUACUGGAAACGGUGGCUAAUACCGCAUACUAUCGGAUAACCCAUAUGGGAUUAGCUAGUAGGUGGGGUAAAGGCUCACCUAGGAAACGAUCUCUAGCUGGUCUGAGAGGAUGAUCAGCCACACUGGGACUGAGACACGGCCCAGACUCCUACGGAGGAAGCAGUGGGGAAUAGUGCACAAGGGGCGCAAGCCUGAUGCAGCCAUGCCGCGUGUAUGAGGAAGGCCUUAGGGUUGUAAAGUACUUUCAGCGGGGAGGUGGUACCCACAGAAGAAGCAACGGCUAACUCCGUGCCAGCAGCCGCGGUAAUAC